rnacentral:lncRNA from 1 species
CCGGUGCUGGAUGCGGUGCUCACGGAGCAGCCGCACUUGCGGGGAGUGCAGGGACCUGGCCAGGUCCUUAGAAGACCAGGCCCCUAACUGUCCUGUGGCCAGCAUCCCAUCUGCACUGCCAGGCUUCAAGGACCGCUGGCCCCAGGAGGGAGGAGCAGCAGCCAGAUGGCUGGACGGGUGGACAGCUGGGUGCCCUUCCUGGGAGUGCAGCCCGCGACGCUGUGUCCCAACGCUGUCACUCAGCAGCGCCUGGCUGCCCUGCGCUACCUGUACUGUAAGCGGUUCGUAGAGAGAAGCAUGUCUCAGGAGAACUGGACUGACCAUGUGCAGGUGAGUCUGGAGGGCCCUGUGUGGUGUGGGUGUUCCCUGGAGACCUGGGUGAGGACUAGGCCCCAAGAGAGUGCGUGCUCACAUGUGGACGAGGCACGAGGCGCGUAGCUCACGUGUCUG